AAACCCGAGCUCCGGACCUCAGCAGUUCCUUACCUCGCUCAGCUCGGCUGAGGAGUCGUUGCCAUAUUUCACCGCAACUCCAGAAUUCAUGCCUGCACUUUUCAGAGCCGGGCUCGUCCCCAGACCUCGGAGCGUAGGAGCCGGGCUUAGGCUGGAUAGCCUGGGCUUGCUCCCCGCCGGCACAUUUCAGUCUAGACAGCCAUUUUCACCCAGGACAGCAGCGAGGCCAGAAAGGAUGGAGAAGCUCGAUACCGUAAGUCAGGCUGGAAUCUCACCAGCGAGCCAUAGCUGCAGGAGACUGGGCAGAGGGUUGCGCUCGCAGCAGCUGCAGCGGCCGAGCCGGCGCCGGGACCCACCCGCGCGCCCACCGCGGAGUCCCGGAGUGAUGCCACCCUCCGCGCCGCCUCGCCCCUCCUAUGGUACCACGCAGAUCCCCAUUACCCGGCAGGCGGGCAGUUCGCGCCGGCGCCCAGCAGAGCUCGGGUAUCCUCCGGGAGAAGCCUGGGCACCAGUGCGAGGACGAUAUGUGCCUCCGGUUCCCGGGAGGAAAGAGCUGGAGAGAGCCGGAGCUGAGCAGCACUUCACGCCGAAGUUUCCCCCUUUGAAUCGUCUGGAGUUAGUUCUUUAAAAUACAUCAGAUUCUUCUCCAUGGAGGGAAAACUGAUCGUGCAAAUUAGAGAUUUGGAAACCCCCGCAGGAAGAGUUUUUUAAAAGCUCUCUCUCUGCUUCCUGACCAUCAUGACAUGACCAGUCUCCUCUUCCUGCACAAGGUUCUGCUGCCAUGAUCUUCUGCCUUUCCCUGGGCUCAGAACCAGCAGAGCCCAUGAUCAUGGAUGGACUGGGAUCCCUGAAACAGGUCGUUUGGGCUAUUCUAAGCCUCUCGUGUUUCAACAUGAAUUUUGGAGUCAAGCUGCUGGUAUGCAAAGAGGCCAGAAUUUGGAGACAUUUACCUCUUAAUAUUAAGCCUGCUAACCCACAUAUGGGGGCUGUCUUUUCAUUUACUUGGGUCUUUGCUUCACUUGGGGUUUUAAACAGUUUUUUAUGUCUCUCAUUAAAUUUAUUACUACGUAUUUUAUUUCUCCUCCUCCUUCUUCUUCCCCACCCCCUCUCUUAGUUUUUUUUUUUUUUCUGUGUAGCUCUUGCUGUCCUAAACUCUCUCUGGCCUCAUCCUCAGAGAUCUGCCUGCCUCUGUUGCUUGAGGGUUGGAAUUAAAGGGGUUCGCCACCACCACCUGGCUUUUAUUUUUUUUUAAAUGAUCUAAUGUAAAUAGGCUUUAUUUAUUUAAUUUUCAGAUAAUUCAUUGCCAACAUAUAAAAAUUAACUAAUUUAUGUUAUGUUGAUUUUAUAUCCUGAAAUCUUAUCUAACUUUUUUUAUUUCUUAAUUGUCUGCAUGCAAGAUCUUCUGCAAAGAAAGUUAUGAGGAAUGAAGCUCUUUACAAACACUGCCAGACUCGUCAUAACCCUCCUAUAUGCAAGGCUACCAUGGCAGAGUCCUCUAAAAAGCUCACAUUGAAACUUAGCCCCCUCUGCAACAGCAGUAAGAAGUAUGGCUUUAGUGGAGCUCUGAAGUCACAAAUAAGAUUGCCGCCUAUUAUAUAAGAAGGCUUGGAAUUAAAGGGAAACUCUUUCUCCUUGUCUGCUUUUCCACUGUGUGGAUAUAGCAUUUCUCCUCUUCAGAAGAUGUGGUAACAAGGUGGUCUUCGAUACACACCACUCCUACAGGCAACUUGAUCUUGCACUUCCAAGUCUCGAGAACUCUGAGAAGAAAAUUUCUGUUCCUUAUAAGUCUCCCCGAUCUGUGGCAUUCUGUGACAGCAGUGUAUCUAAUGAUAGCACCUUUGGCUGGAGGGAGAGUUUGAAGAGAUGUUUUGCAUGUUAGAUUUUCCAUCACUGGGACAGAUACCAGAGAAACAAUUUAAAGGAGGAAAGAUUUAUUUUAGCUCAGGGUUUCCAUGGUUUAGUUCAAGCAUAAUGGCUCUGUGUAUCUGGGCUAUGGUUAGGCAGAAUACCAUGGCAACAGAGAGCUCAUAGCAUUAUAACCAAGAGGCCAAGAGAGGUAAGGAAAGAGUCUCAGGGCCAGGUAUUCUCUUCAAAGGCAUGUCCCCAGUGAUGAAUCUUCUCCAACCAGGACACACACACACACACACACACACACACACACACACACACACACACACUCCUGUAGCUGCCAGUCAAUGGAUUCUAGAGCCCUCACAAAUUACCCAGUUGUGAAUGAUUGGACCUACAGUAUAGAGACUAAAGCUUCAACAAACAAGCAUGGGGAGUUGUGCUUAAUAACUAAACCAAAAUAAACAUUUGAAA
ensembl:antisense A930012L18Rik RIKEN cDNA A930012L18 gene